GUCAUUGAGUUGCUUCCGCCACGUGGUUUGUCGGUGAUUCAAAAUGAUAAAGAGUCUCUUACAGUUCGUUCAUUCUGUAGCGAGAAGAGGAGGCUUCUUUUCUUUAGUCACCGUGGCCGAGAAGAACCAGCCACCUGUCUGGGAAACACGCCACCCAGCUGUGCGACCCUGCCGCCAGACAGGAGCCACAAUGUGAGUAUCAGUGGCCUUUGUAUCCGAUGCCAACGUGGUGCGUGGCGACUCCAGUCUUACUGGGUGAGGGAGGGAGGGUGGCUGCAGUUAAGACGAGGGCACGUGUCAGUGUGUCACCUGUAACCCUUAUCGGGCCCCCGUGUGAUUUCCUCCCCCUUGUCUGUGGUUCAGAGUUGUAUCUCCAGAGCUUCUCUGGUUUCUUGGCAACAACACCCCCUUAGCUCUGAGAUGUGGGCAGCACGAGCCAAACGCCGAUCCCCGUUUCGCUCCACCAUCCAGUCGGCGGCGUGUAGAACACCGGUGUUCCCGUGAUUCCGGCGGGCAGCAAACUGAAGCUGCACGCCGUGUGCUGUCAGCUUGGGGAUUCGCAGCGUUUUGAGUGGAGCUUCGGCGGCGCUGUGAACUGUCCAACACUCCUUAAAACCUCCCCCCCCCCCUCCUCGGUAUCACUCGGCUUCGAUGACAUCCCAACACUGAAGCGGCGUGCAGGCUUGCUGCUUUUACUCAACCGUCCGAUUUAUUAUUCAAGGCAUGUUGAGUCUUCUGUUUUCCCUUUAAAACACAGUUCCCGAAAAUUACAAUAAGCCGACAAAUUGCACAAAUAAAGAAUAUUCUACAUGCAUUCUCAUUAUUAUGAUCUAGCUAUGAACUAUACCUUCGGAGGGAAUUGCAUCACCGCAUAGCGGCUUUUAUUGUCAGGAACAUUAAAGUUAAAAGCAUUCUCACAGAGCCGUUUGAUAUUAUUACAUAAACCUAUUUCCCAUUGAAAUGACGCAGAGAAUAGCCGAAACGACAACGGACCUGCUGGGAACAAAAGCGUAAAUACAUCAAUGAAAUGACCUGCUCUCUGGGGAGCAAGUAAUGAGUCAGCAGGUAGCUUUUAUGUGCUUUGCUAAUGGACAAUUCUCUUUUACCGAUAAUAAACACACGUUUCCAUGCAACCGCGGGCUGUCUUUUUAAAUACAGCGAAGGUACACGACUAUUUAAGUGUUUUUCAAAUAUAUUAGAUGCAUCAAUAUCUAGGUUUGUCUGCUCAUUGAUGGCGGACAGAAUGAAUAAAAGCAGCAAAGCCGUGGCUGCUCUGUUUCAGGGCUCGCAUUGAUUUAACACGGUUAAGCAUUUACUCACAGAUUGAAAACAUAAACUCGUCGUCAAAAGUAAGGUAGCUCUUUUGACCUAAACAUUAAACUAAAGUGUCCCAAGAGAAUAAUUCUAACCCUCACGUUCAAGCUCCAGCUGCAGAACGCCUGACGUAACGACAGCCAAUAAUGGGACGAAAUGAGAUGAGAUUAAAUGCUUCACGGUGAUUACGGCCCCGUCGUUACGGCACUAAAUGGAAGACUUAUGUAAUCGAAAUGAACAAUUAGAUUACAUUACGGUAGAGCGGAUGCAUUUCCCCCUUAAUUUGUUGAUGUAAUGUUUGACCGACGCUAAUUUCUUUGAGUUUGUGCAGCAGAAGUCUUUGUAUUCAUUUUCUAUCCUGAGUGCAACUUAAAUUUAAAAAACUCCUUCAACCCUCCGUGAAUAAAACAAAAUCAACGAUUAAAAACUGUGCUUCCUUUUGGCAUCAGCUGAAAAAUAUUCUUAAUGUGUAUUUUAUUACACUCAGUGGCAAAUCAGAACCAUACCAGAAGAAAACAGGUGUUAACCCCCAAUAUUUGGCAGAAUAAGGUUCAUCACAUCCGUUAUAUUUUCUUUGCAUGUUGAGUUUUAUGAAUGCCUUGUUUAAUAGAAGUCAGUGUGGUGCUGAUCCUGUGAGGGAACUGAUAUGGCUGCGUAUUCAAAAACGUGCUAUUAGUUGUGAAUAGUUAUUUGAGGACUUCAUAGCUGGACCUGCAUGCACAUUCGUACAGAUCUGAUAAUACCUGUAUUAGAAACACUAAAUGCAGCAGAGGUCACGCACACACACACACACACACACACACACCUUGGUGCAGAAGUCCAGCUCUUCCCAUUAGACUCCAUUUCGUCAUUUAGCAAAUUACGUGAUAACGAAAAACUUACUUCCAUUUGCAUUCUAAUCGCGUUUCAUUCCCCGUCAGCUGUGCGACUGAUUGGAGCCGUAUUGACAGAAAAAGUGUAUUCUUUGUCUGCAGGACGUGGUGACAGAACAUUUUGCUGGCAGUACAUCCUCUGAUUAGCAUUCUAAUUAGUACUCUCACAGAACGGCAAUAGUCUCAGAACUGUUUUCUGCCAGUUACGCCUGCACACAGCUCACUCUCCUAAUGGCUCAACACAUUUGGAGAUUCUGGCAUUUGUGGCCUCUCCGCUCCCACAGAACGUUAAGAGCAGUUGGCGGCGGCGUUAAAAAGCAACUAGUUGUGAUAGAUCCACUUUUUAAACAGACCUAUUUGGAAUCGUAGCAAUCCCUAAAAGGGCAAUUCUGCAGGAAAAAGGAAGGGUUGUGUUCUUCAAUCAGGUGUUCUGCAGAUUAGAUGCCCAAACUUUAUCAAUAGACCUGUUCAACAAGCACAUUUCACUGCUACAUUUUACACGAUGCAAAGCGCGCUGGUGCUAUUUAACAUUAACAAAAGCUCUCUGUGGUCUAAUGUUUAGAUCAGUUUGUUCUAGAGGACUGGUACAAACAGCUCUUCUUUAUUCUGUGUAAACUUCAUUUAUUGAUUCAUAUCCACGUUCCAUGUCACAUCCUUAUCACAAGGACAUUACUGUUUGAGUUCGGGUAUGUUCAGUUUCGAGGAAAAGAGAGGGUUGUUCAAUGGGGUGAGAUCCUCUCAGCGAGAGAACGAAUGAAGAGCCUUCUGUGCGUUUUAUUGGGACUUCUUAACGGCAAAUAAAUCCUCUCCGUUCCGGUUUUGGGGAAUGGAAACAACUUUUGAGAGAAUAACAAUGAGGUGAGUUAUGAUGGUGAUUAUACAUAAACAUACAACUCUCUGCAUAAUCUGCAUUGAAUGGUUUGCCUCCAUCGUCACAUUGCUUAUGGAUUAAUCCUCUGCUGCUCCCAGACACGAGUCAAUCAACAUGUUUCUUAAUGAGUUUUUAAAACUGUUUUGUCAUUGCGAGAAAUGUAUUAUUAUCUUUCUUGUGAAGAUCUUUGAGCGGAUCUUUGAAUUUCUCCUUCACGUGUUCUUGGGUGGUAGAUUCUUCAGUGAUAGUAAUUGGACCACCUGCCCCCCUGAAGCCACAUGGACCUUUGGGUGUCCCAGCGAAACCACCAACCAGCAGCGAGAGAAAAGGUCUGGCGUCGCCGCAUCGUCUGGUUUCACUUCUCCUCUGUGAAAAAAGGAGACGCACGGACGGAGUAGUUAAAAACCUUCCUCGGAACCAAACGCUUUCUUGUGGUCUUAGAGCCCCACCGCUUUAGAAUCGAGCAGAAGCUCGUUCUCCCGCUGACCUUCUCUGCUUUCUGAUCUCGCUUUAGCUCAGUGUGACCUUCAGGCUUGCACACAACGUUCUCCCUCCCCUUCCCAGGUCUGACGCCCGUGACGUUUAGUUUAAGAACUCAACAUGCUGUGUGUGCUUUUAUUCUGCCGACGUAAUCGGCAUUGUUUUCAAUGUCGCUACAAAGAGAUGUGGAUAUUAAAAGAGGUCUGCGUGGGAGUUUGAGGCUUCCUGUUGUGUGUGGGAAUAAAGGGCCGAGCGUGGUGCUCACGUUAACCAAACAUCAUAUCUCGAUAUUUUUGGAAAUUGGGGCAAUGAAGCUUGUCUUAAGUUGCCUGGGGGUGAUGGAGCGUGCAGCAGGGAGGGGGUGUGUUGGUGUUUCAGUCUGCUGAACCAAGAAGCUCCGCGGAUGCACAAAGCUUAUUAAAAUUGUAUUAAUAUUGAGCAUGUUGCAUGUCAAAGAAGAUAGGAUGAAAUAUGCAAAGGGUAUACCACAGACAGAGAGUUCUUCCUUUAUAGCUCAAGGUGUUCUGAUUGUUUUGUGUUGCCUAAGACUAACUAAGUGGCUUUCUGUGGAGACGGAAGUUUAUUUUGAACAGACCGUCAAUAUAAAACUCCAUUCUAUUUCUUGCCUCUUGCAUCUUUUAAGGAAAAAGAUAAAACGCUACCGAGUGUGCGACCAAACUGUCGUCACUGAGCUCCACAGAAUUAUAGCUUUGAGUGUACUUUAGUUCUGCUUAGAUUUGUCCUCUUGUUGUUAUCACUACCACUUAUGGGCAAGGCUGUAAGAUGGAGAUGGAGGAAUAAUGACGGGAGGAAAGGAUGAGUGGUGGAUGAACUGUAGACUCAUUAGUAGGAGGAAGACAGCUCUGCAACCUGCAAAGGUGGAAUGGACGAACCGUAAUUAGGAGAGAACCAGGAGAAAGGGGGGGGGGCACACCCACUCCAUAUUUUGUCAUAUGAUAAUGUCGGGUCACGCGUCAUCCGAUCUCACUAACCCUCUUUACAUUCCUUCAGCCGCUCCGUCAAAGGAAGGCCGGAAAACCAGGAGAUUUCCGGAUCUUACAGACUGAAUAAAGGCUUUUAGAUAACAAUUUAACAAGGGACAUUUAUUGUGAAAACAUGAACACAUUUUGAGUUUUGUUUGAGGCUACUCUUCAUUAAAGCAGGUCUACCAAUGCUCCUGGUAGGGAUGAGAACCGGUGCCCAGUGAAUCGAUUCCUUGGAAUCGUUGGCAUGUCUUCCUAACGAUGCCGCUUAUCGAUGCCGCUCAUUGUAAAUGCGUCAUGACGUCACACACCCACUGCGUUUGUUUUGAUUCAGAACGCGGCAAACGUGCCACCGAGACUGAAGCGCUCCAAAGUUUGGCUCUAUUUUACGCGAAAAGACUUAAAUUCCGUCACUUGCAACAGUUGCAAAAGUUCAAUUUCGUCAAGGGGAGGGACUACCUCCAACGUGCAGAAACAUUUGGUCACCCAGCAUGCAAUUCAUUUGCAGGACUGUCCCGCGUUUGAUGCACUUCUACUUAGCGACACGACAAGUGAGUUAACUGAGUAAACUUUUACUAUACAACGAUAAUAAUCUCCAUUGUCAUUGUACUUCAAAUUUAGAUGAUGAUGAUGGCGGCCAGAGUCUGGCUGGCUCAGAGGCUGCAGCAAAUAUCUCUCGUGCACCUCCAGCUACUCCGUUUACAGAGGCAGAGAAGAAUAAAAUGACCCAGGCAAGGAUACUUUACUUUGAGAAGCAACUCACGUACUUUAAGUUUGUUUUGAGGUUGCUACACAUACUUUGUGUAUGCUCCGUGGUGUGUCUUAAAGUUAAUUAAAGCGAGUUAUAACAAACAAACACAUUUGUACUUAUUCCCUCACCAAAUGAGAAUCGAUAAGAGAAUCGGACCGUUAAGCAAUAUCGAUAAGGGAAUCGGAAUCGUAAAAAACGUAUCAAUUCCCAUCCCUAGCUCCAGGGGGGAAGAGUUAGCAGCGAAAAUAAAGGGUGACUUAUACAGUAUGGAAAGUUAUAGGAAAACAUAAAUACAUCUGAUCACUAUUUAAUGAGUAUAUAAAUAUUUACAUGGCUGAGUUAUAAUCUGGUGCCUCUAAUCACAAAAAUGUAACCAGCGAUGCGUACGUUGCUUUGAUACGACUCUUUACUUCAUUCUUUUCAGAAGCAGCAUCUCAAACAAACCCACCGGUCGACACCCGAAGCCGAACUGCGUGACUGAUACGUUGGGUCCCGUCCAAAGGGAACGCAUGAAAGCAAAAUGGAUGUGGUGGAGAGUCUGCACGCUCCAGGUGGUCCAAACAGCGCUGAUGAAGUAUUGAUUUCCGGCCUGGUCUCGGUAAUGGAGAUAACUUCAAGUAUUGACAGAAUAAUAAUAAUACUUUCGUUUUUCUAUAGCGCUUCUCUGGGUACCCAAAGAUGUAGAAUGUAAAUCUAAGUAAGAGAAAAGCACAGAGAAGAGAAAUAGAUAGAAACACUAAAAAUAAGGAAAUAGAACUGGGGAAAAGUGGAGAAUGAGUCAUGUAGGGGUUUGCAUUUGAAAGCGAGCUUGAAGAGGCGGGUUUUGAGGGCUUGAUUGAAUGAAGAUCCACAGCCUGGUGGGUUUGGAUGGGGGGGGGGGGGCGGCCUGUAUUGUAGUUUGUUGAGGAUUUUGUUGGGCGAGCCGUAGAAGAUGCUGCUGUUGCAGUAGGAUAAAUAAACAAUCCUUUGGAAGCUGCUUCUUACAGAAUUUGAAUUCUUGUUCCCGGUGAAUGUAAAUGUAAGCCGGACAAAAUUGCCAACAAUGACACUAAGAAGCUGUGAGACAAAUCAAUUUGGGCCAUAAGGCAAAAUAACACGUUUGAAAAACCCAAUUGUCUGCAUUUCUUCCUUGAUCACCUCUUCGUCAUUUUGAACCACAUGUGAGAGUCAUUACAGUGUUUUAUUUUGCUUCGCCAGAAUUUUUUAUCAGCCGAUUUAAUGGGCAAUUCUUCAUAUUUUGUGUUAAGCGAUAUUUCCACUAUGCAAGCAGACUGGUUAUUUAAAGCAUAAUACAUCUUAGAUUAGAUAGAUACAUCUUCUAUUUGAAAAAGCCCCACUUGAACAUCCUUUUCCAGAAAAAUUAUAAUACAGAAAAAUAUAUGGCUGCCGUAAUUAAACCCCUGGGGAAAUGUCAUGGUGGAAACAACCAGUUUAAUUUUUCACCUCGAGUUAUUUCAGAGACCUCCAUCCAAACUUUACAGGAAACUUAGUUUGGUUUAUGUGCAGUUUGGAAAAAGACAACAACACGGACCUCUAGUUUCACUCGGUGACCUCGUUGGGAGGAUUUCCUCCCAUCGAUGCAUUCACUUCCUGAGCAACGGCUAUGAUUGCUGGAUGAGAUGAACUCCACAGUUCAGGGAUGAUAUUAUCUUUCCCUUUUUAUUUUUUUCUCUCAGAUUGGGACCCAGAUGGUGUUUAAAAAGAUGUUGUUGGAUCUGUAUGAAUAGAAAAGGAACAGAGAGCACAACACGACUCGAGUGCCUCUUCACUGCUGUCCCUGUUUAAUGUCCUUUCCCAUCCAACGUGCCUUCACUUAGACUUCACUAGUGUUCAGUGCACGACUGACAACACACAGCUCGUGCAUUUCAUCCGGCGACAUCACAGAAGAUUACAGAGGGCGACCCACUGAGUACUCGGUUUGAUGCUUGACGUUUCUUUCCUUCUCAAAUGAAUGAGUGAGCACCACUUGCUAUUGACAUGAUAGUUAACAGGAGACCGACUCAACUACACCAAAGCUCGCUCAGAAAGACGGUGAGUUGAUUAUAAGAAGUGUGUAUGACACAUCAGCUAAACAGUCUAAUAAGAGGUUGUGUGUGUGUGUGAGAGAGAGACCUGAAGUCCAUACAGUGUAUCUGGGUACACUGUAAUUAAAGUACACAUUUAGCUGCAGUGCUUCCUGUGUCCGCCUUAAAGGUGUCAGCUGUAGCGAGCAGUCCUCUUUGUGUGUCAAUAUCAAUAUUGUAAUUGCAGACUGAAAAGAGAGCCGGCCACUAAAAUUAGAAAUGACUUGGCAGUUUGGCCCCUGAAACCUCUCAGCUAGAUCCGCAUCUAGGGAAGCCGCCUCAAAACUUUUUUUCAGCAGGUUUUGUUCGUGACAUUUCCUCAGGGACGCCUCAAGGAGCUCGAGAUCACUCCUGCGGCUGUGGGUCCCGGGAGCUCUGCGGAUGACAGAUGUGCGACCUCCCUCAGAAUCUCUCACUUUAAUUGAACUACAUCAAAGGACGGACCUGGGCUCUCUGAAUAAUGCAGCGCACCAUGGGGGGCAGAGUAUACCCCCCCCGCCCCGCCCCGCGCGAGGGAGAAAGAAAGUGACAGAGAAGUCGGGAAUUCCUCGGCUUAAUUGCAUGGUGUUGGAAAUCUCCCAGAUCCUCGAGUCACCGUAUCUGAACUUAUAAAUGAAAAAAGCUUUCUAUAGUUGAAAUUGGAUCAUUUUCUGCUGACAGAAAAUCCUUCUCCAGCAGGAGAUUCUUUUUGCAGCAGCAGAUUCUCAACUAAUGGUGAAAAAGUGUUUCAAAGUGUUCUUGACAUCUAAAGACAUGUGGCGCAGCAGCAGAUGGCCCUGGAAGUAUGACCUGUCAAAACAGUCUCAGGUCAAAAG
ensembl:lncRNA